ensembl:snoRNA SNORD24 Small nucleolar RNA SNORD24
UGCAGAUGAUGUGAGAGAAUAUUUGCUAUCUGCGCAAUGGUGAUGACAUCUUAAACCACCAAGAUCGCUGAUGCA